rnacentral:rRNA from 1 species
CACGUAGGGGGCGAGCGUUGUCCGGAUUUAUUGGGCGUAAAGAGCUCGUAGGCGGCUCAGUAAGUCGGGUGUGAAAACUCCAGGCUCAACCUGGAGACGCCACCUGAUACUGCUGUGGCUAGAGUCCGGUAGGGGAGCAUGGAAUUCCUGGUGUAGCGGUGAAAUGCGCAGAUAUCGGGAGGAACACCGGUGGCGAAGGCGGCGACCUGGGUCGAUACUGACGCUGAGGCGCGAAAGCGUGGGGAGCAAACAGG